rnacentral:rRNA from 1 species
UACGUAGGGUGCGAGCGUUGUCCGGAAUUAUUGGGCGUAAAGGGCUCGUAGGCGGUUUGUCGCGUCGGGAGUGAAAUCCACUGGCUUAACUGGUGGCUUGCUUUCGAUACGGGCAGACUGGAGGUAUGUAGGGGAGAACGGAAUUCCUGGUGUAGCGGUGAAAUGCGCAGAUAUCAGGAGGAACACCGGUGGCGAAGGCGGUUCUCUGGGCAUGUCCUGACGCUGAGGAGCGAAAGUGUGGGGAGCGAACAGG